AAUAUUGCACAAUGGGCGCAAGCCUGAUGCAGCCAUGCCGCGUGUGUGAAGAAGGCCUUCGGGUUGUAAAGCACUUUCAGUAGGGAGGAAGGUAGUGUAGUUAACACCUGCAUUAUUUGACGUUACCUACAGAAGAAGCACCGGCUAACUCCGUGCCAGCAGCCGCGGUAAUACGGAGGGUGCGAGCGUUAAUCGGAAUUACUGGGCGUAAAGCGCAUGCAGGCGGCCUGUUAAGUCAGAUGUGAAAGCCCGGGGCUUAACCUCGGAAUUGCAUUUGAAACUGGCAGGCUAGAGUCUUGUAGAGGGGGUAGAAUUUCAGGUGUAGCGGUGAAAUGCGUAGAGAUCUGAAGGAAUACCAGUGGCGAAGGCGGCCCCCUGGACAAAGACUGACGCUCAGAUGCGAAAGCGUGGGGAGCAAACAGGAUUAGAUACCCUGGUAG
rnacentral:rRNA from 1 species